GACGAACGCUGGCGGCGUGCUUAACACAUGCAAGUCGAACGGAAAGGCCCUGCUUUUGUGGGGUGCUCGAGUGGCGAACGGGUGAGUAACACGUGAGUAACCUGCCCUUUACUUUGGGAUAACUUCAGGAGACUGGGGCUAAUACCGGAUAGGAGCUCCUGCUGCAUGGUGGGGGUUGGAAAGUUUCGGCGGUUGGGGAUGGACUCGCGGCUUAUCAGCUUGUUGGUGGGGUAGUGGCUUACCAAGGCUUUGACGGGUAGCCGGCCUGAGAGGGUGACCGGCCACAUUGGGACUGAGAUACGGCCCAGACUCCUACGGGAGGCAGCAGUGGGGAAUAUUGCACAAUGGGCGGAAGCCUGAUGCAGCAACGCCGCGUGCGGGAUGACGGCCUUCGGGUUGUAAACCGCUUUCGCCUGUGACGAAGCGUGAGUGACGGUAAUGGGUAAAGAAGCACCGGCUAACUACGUG
rnacentral:rRNA from 1 species